UCGACUGUGCUCGAACAGGAUCACUUCUAUAGUGUUUCCAACAGUUCUCCACCACAGCGACAGACCAACUCAUCACCCAUGACGAUGAGCUAUGCUUCCCGCCCGAUGGGACUCUAUGGUCUGCCUCGCGAGAGGCACAACCGUGAUGACCCACACGGCUUCGGUCGUGACGGGCUGUGGAAGGAUCUGAAUGGGA
rnacentral:snoRNA from 1 species